GGCUGGUCUCAAUGUAGUGAGGUAUUUCAGUUGAUUGUUCACAGUCAGUUACAGAUAGAAUUCCUUCUACCUCCCCCCAACCACCUCACUACAGUUGACUAGUCUUUU
ensembl:misc_RNA Y_RNA Y RNA